rnacentral:rRNA from 1 species
GACGAACGCUGGCGGCGUGCUUAACACAUGCAAGUCGAACGGUAAGGCCCUUCGGGGUACACGAGUGGCGAACGGGUGAGUAACACGUGGGUGAUCUGCCCUGCGCUUCGGGAUAAGCCUGGGAAACUGGGUCUAAUACCGGAUAGGACCACUGCCUGCAUGGGUGGUGGUGGAAAGCUUUUGCGGUGUGGGAUGGGCCCGCGGCCUAUCAGCUUGUUGGUGGGGUGAUGGGCUACCAAGGCGACGACGGGUAGCCGGCCUGGGAGGGAGAGCGGCCACGCUGGGACUGAGAUGCGGCCCAGACUCCUACGGGAGGCAGCAGUGGGGAAUAUUGCACAAUGGGCGCAAGCCUGAUGCAGCGACGCCGCGUGAGGGAUGACGGCCUUCGGGUUGUAAACCUCUUUCAGCACCGACGAAGCGCAAGUGACGGUAGGUGCAGAAGAAGGACCGGCCAACUACGUGCCAGCCGCCGCGGUAAAAC